rnacentral:lncRNA from 1 species
GGGAAACUCUGCGGAGGGAUGGGGACAGCUGGGGGUCCUGGCAGGAUGUUGAGGGCUUCUGUGCGGUGUUUGCAGGGUGUUGGUGUUGGAGGUGUGUUGGGGAAGGAGCUGUCUGGGAGGUGAGAGGUCUAGGCUGGAAUUUGAGUCCAUUUGAAGGCAGCAUCUGUGGUUUGGCACAGCUUUCCUUAUGGGACGCAGAAAAAAUAUCUGUGACGGCUUCUGUUCAUGGUCCUGAUUCUGCUGCAGGGAACAAGAGGGGAGAGCUGUACUUUAUUGGCCACUUAGAUCUCUAUACCGGGGCAGGGUUAACCAUUUUCCCAUCUACUCAUUGUUGCCAGCAGUUGCUCCAGGUGUUCCAGCCAACAGCCCCUGCAGGCAGGAGCACAGCCCCCAGUGCCCGUGGGUUUGGCUCCCUCUGGCACAGAAGCCCCCAGGGACACAGGUCUCUGGGGCAGGAGAUGGCACCAGCCCUGCCAGGGCUUCGGGGGUGGCAGGUCUGCUUGGGCAGGGACUCUGCCUCACCUGCGGGUGUCAGCGCUCCCCAGGCCCCAGGGCUCAGAGCAGCAUUCCUGCCCUGGCCCAGAGUUCCUUGUGAGUGCCACACCCAUGGGUUUGGGAUGGCCACGAGGCGGGACGUGUCCCGAGGAGGCCGUGGCAGCUUCUGUGGAAGGCCCUGUGCCCUUCCCAGCGCGGCUGCGUCGGCAGCCCUGGGGGCUCCUUCUGCUGCCCUGAGCCCGCAGAGCAGGGCAGCGUUUGCUGAUGGUGUGAGCCCUUCCUAAAGAUCCUGUUGGGCUGUCUCAGACACUUGAGGCCAGGGAUUCCUUCCAACCUGGGCCACUUUGGGUGGGCAGGGGGCAGCCCCAGCACAGGGGGCAGUGUUUCCAAGGGCCCUUUGUGACACAUGCAGCAUGGAAUAGAGCCCGGUGUCCAAGGGCCCUUGCUGACACGGUGCAGCAUGGAAUGGAGCCCGGCGCCCAAGGGCCCUUUGUGACACAUGCUGACAUAGGAGCUGGAAGUGGCAAGAGCACGCCACAGUGCUCGGAGCAGGCGAAGGGACAGGACGGGACAGAGCGGUGCUGUGAGGAGUCCCGGCACAGCGCGCUCGUUCCUGCCCUA